AUUGAACGCUGGCGGCAGGCUUAACACAUGCAAGUCGAGCGGAGAUGAGGUGCUUGCACCUUAUCUUAGCGGCGGACGGGUGAGUAAUGCUUAGGAAUCUGCCUAUUAGUGGGGGACAACAUUCCGAAAGGAAUGCUAAUACCGCAUACGUCCUACGGGAGAAAGCAGGGGAUCUUCGGACCUUGCGCUAAUAGAUGAGCCUAAGUCGGAUUAGCUAGUUGGUGGGGUAAAGGCCUACCAAGGCGACGAUCUGUAGCGGGUCUGAGAGGGUGAUCCGCCACACUGGGACUGAGACACGGCCCAGACUCCUACGGGAGGCAGCAGUGGGGAAUAUUGGACAAUGGGGGGAUCCCUGAUCCAGCCAUGCCGCGUGUGUGAAGAAGGCCUUAUGGUUGUAAAGCACUUUAAGCGAGGAGGAGGCUACUAAGACUAAUACUCUUGGAUAGUGGACGUUACUCGCAGAAUAAGCACCGGCUAACUCUGCGCCAGCCGCCGCUGUAACAC
rnacentral:rRNA from 1 species